UUGCAUCUGGGGCCUGUGAGGAUGAGAACCUCCGGGGGCAGGAGGUUCGACUCGAGCGAAGCGAGAGAACGUUGCGUCAGCAACGGCCCGCAGGGCGAGCCACGAAGUGGUGAGUCAUCC
rnacentral:sRNA from 1 species